rnacentral:rRNA from 1 species
UACGGGGGGGGCAAGCGUUGUUCGGAAUUACUGGGCGUAAAGGGCUCGUAGGUGGCCAACUAAGUCAGACGUGAAAUCCCCAGGCUCAACUUGGGAACUGCGUCUGAUACUGGAUGGCUUGAAUUCGGGAGAGGGAUGCAGAAUUCCAGGUGUAGCGGUGAAAUGCGUAGAUAUCUGGAGGAAUACCGGUGGCGAAGGCGGCAUCCUGGACCGGUAUUGACGCUGAGGCGCGAAAGCCAGGGGAGCAAACGGG